rnacentral:rRNA from 1 species
GAGUUUGAUCCUGGCUCAGGAUGAACGCUGGCGGCGUGCCUAAUACAUGCAAGUCGAGCGAACAGAUGAGAAGCUUGCUUCUCUGAUGUUAGCGGCGGACGGGUGAGUAACACGUGGGUAACCUACCUAUAAGACUGGGAUAACUCCGGGAAACCGGGGCUAAUACCUGAUAAUAUUUUGAACCGCAUGGUUCAAUAGUGAAAGGCGGCUUCGGCUGUCACUUAUAGAUGGACCCGCGCCGUAUUAGCUAGUUGGUAAGGUAACGGCUUACCAAGGCGACGAUACGUAGCCGACCUGAGAGGGUGAUCGGCCACACUGGAACUGAGACACGGUCCAGACUCCUACGGGAGGCAGCAGUAGGGAAUCUUCCGCAAUGGGCGAAAGCCUGACGGAGCAACGCCGCGUGAGUGAUGAAGGUUUUCGGAUCGUAAAACUCUGUUGUUAGGGAAGAACAAAUUUGUUAGUAACUGAACAAGUCUUGACGGUACCUAACCAGAAAGCCACGGCUAAUAC